rnacentral:lncRNA from 1 species
GUUAAAAAAAAAAAAAAAAAAAAAAAAAAAAAAAAAAAAAAAAAAAAAAAAAAAAAAAAAAAAAAAAAAAAAAAAAAAAAAAAAAAAAAAAAAAAAAAAAAAAAAAAAAAAAAAAAAAAAAAAAAAAAAAAAAAAAAAAAAAACUAUGCGGGUACCCAAAGAUCAGAGCUUUUAUAGAUGAUAAACUAUUUCAUUCGAGUACUUGGAUCCAGAGCUACCGCAUGGACUCUGUUUAUUCAAAGUUGCUGUAAAUUUCUAAGGGCUUGACAGGGUCGAUUACAAGUAACAGAC